CUUUAAGAUAAUUGGACCGGAAUGGUUAUGCAUUUCCAUGUAAUCUUUAUAUCUCUUUUGCGGGUGCCGAAAAGUUGGCAUUAUGUGAGUCAUAGAUGGGGAACUAAGACAAGAAGCAGUGAGUAUAAGAGCCAUGGGUUGUGAGUUGUGAGCGGGGUAGAAACCACAUUGAUCCUUUUCAGUGCAGCGUAUGCGUAGACAGCAGGGCUGCCUCAACAUUUGUAAAGCCGUCUGACUUGUGGAGUUGGAGGCUGUAGAUGAGCAGGGACAAAUGUUGGAAUUCACUUCUCUCAUUUAUCCUGUGACCUCUUGACUCCUCCUUGUUCUCACUCAGUUUCCCUCUUGCUUCCUGGGGUGGCAGCAGGGUGAGUACCUAUGGCUGAAUGUCUCCUAAAUCCCCUACAGGGAAGCACGGGCCAGCUGUGGUUGGUGGCACCAGGGAGGGAUGGCAUCUGGUCAUUUUUGGGUUUUGACCUGUAACACUAGCAGGGCCUCCACAGCUGCACUUCUCACUGUUCAUGAGAGGUAUGGUGGUCAAGCCAACGCAAUCAGGUAUACAUCUGAUGUUCCAUACACCAUUCCAAACAAGCAAUAUGGCACUGGGCAGCCCAGUGAGGACAAGGACUAGAGUGACCAUGACGUCAGAUCAGUCUGCGGUGCAUCCUUUGUACGGGAGAGCAGGAGGUGGAAACUGCCUAGUCAAUACCCAUGCUCCCAUCCCCACAGCCUUGCGUUUCACUGUGCGUUUUUUUUUUUUUCUUGCAGAUUCAAAUUUCCGUGUAUUCCAGAAACUUUACCUUCAAUCGUAUAUUUGAAUCCUUUUCCUGUUGCAGUCAUGCUCGAUCUUGGCAGGGUACCAGCUUUAUUGAUGUUCCAUGUCUUCUAUCUCUUUCUGUCUCUGUGUCUAUCUCUGUCUCUGUGUCUUUCUUUCUCUGUGCCUCUGUCUCUCUUCUACUCACUUUUCAUUCUCAUUCAUUUCUGAGGCUCUGCCUCCUUCCUUUGCACUCCCAUGUAAUGUCUUAUCAGUUUUUCCUUAAGGCUAUAUAUCUCUUCUUUAAAUUCUCGUUUCAGAGAAACAACAUUUUCUUUUACUGGUUUGAUUUCCUGCACAUCUCCCUGCUCGCAGUUUUGGCUGCUGUGUGGUAGAGUCUUUCUGGUAUAUGUCUUCAUCGAUCUUACCCCGUUCUUUUGUUUUUCCUUGCAUCUUUUUUUUUUUUUAAGAUUAUUUAUUUAUUUGAGAGAGAGAGAGAGCAGAGUGAGAGACAACCAAGUGGAGAGUGAAGGGGCAGAGGCAGAGGGAGAAGCAGGCUCCCCGCUGAGCAGGGAGCCUGAUGUGGGGCUCAAUCCCAGGACCCUGGGAUCAUGACCUGUGCUGAAGGUAGAUGCUUAACCGACUGAACCACGCAGGCACCCCAGCAUCUUUUUAAUAGCCCCUGGCUGGCUGCCACCUAAAAAGGUAUUUUUACCUUUUACCUAGAAACAGUAUUGUUUCUCAUGUUGGAAGGAGGAGAUGUCUAUAUGGAUGCGGUAUGUGAGCAAAAUCUGGGGGCAUGGACAGAAGAAGGAGUGAUAAUGAUGGGCAGCUUACAUUCCAGGCUGUGUCCCUGGGGGUUUUCUUAACUGCACGCGCCCAGUGGAUAAACCUUUUCCAGCCUGACAGCAAGUUAUCUGGGGUCACACUGAAUGUUUGAGUGUGGGUGUUGCUCCUUGAGAUUAUCUUCCCUACAGUUUAGUAGCUGCAAGGCUCUGUGACACCUCCUGAUUUCUUGCCCCUUUGCCAAACCCAAACACACAGUCUGCUCUGGGCUAAGACUGCCUCCUGAUUUUUUUUCUUACUAACUACCCCUACCUCCUGUCCUAUGCCAUGACUGAAGCAUGAUGUAAGAAGCCUUCCAAAAACGUUGACCUGACUCUUGUAAGCAAGGAAUCGUUGCUUUUCCUUUCAAUGGGUGCUGCCCACUUUAGAUAACUCUGAGUCAUGAAGAAAAAGACAUCUUCUCUUGGUGUCCUCUGUCAUUGUCAACGAAUUUCUGCUCCACUGUCUGGAACAUGUCUGACAAGACAAACCUUACAUUCCUAGAUUUUCUCCCUCAAUUUCCACUGAAUUCUUUCCAAAAGUUAAAACACCAUUCGUUUGCUAGAAUAUUUGUUAAUUCAUCUAUAUAAGCACAGCCUUGCGUGUGCUUGGCCCAUCAUUCAGCGCGUCCUGUGAUCAGGGCUCUAGGGGAUCUCCAGUUUCAUCAAAGAUAACAUUUUAUUGUUUCUUAGUCUCUGCGCUGCUUUGGGUUGGUUUCAUCGAAGAAACAAGACAGAUAUAUAUGUAUACAACCAUUUGAAAUUGAAAGAGUCACUCCUUUCUUUCAAUCCGGUCUUCUUCUUUUCUCCCCAAUGAAUUCAAUACCAGAGAGAGAAGACUUGAAGAGAAUAUCCAACAACGUAUGUUCAAAUAGUCACGGAUAUAGGGCACAGAACACAUGGAGAGAGCAACGACGCACUUCUUGAUGCUAUUAUGGACAGUCCAGAAAAUAUUAUUAGGGAGGAUGAAGAGCUAUACGAACAAACCUGAUGGGCAAUUUUAACUCUAUCAGACAGAUAGUAUAUAAGCCAUAGUAAUUUUUCUCUUUAAUUCAAAACAAUUACAUUGCAUAUAGAGAUGGCCACAUUCGAUUUUUUUCUAAGCUAUUUUGAUCAAAAUGUACCAAAGCAUGCAUUCUCCCCUCUUUUUACCUUAAUUUGUAUUUUUUCCAUUUCCUUCUGAUUUUGCCCAUAGAGUGCAUUUUCCCUGUUUGAGCUCCAUGCGCUGUUGUGCAAAAAGUCUGUUGGCCUAGAGAAGCACAGUAUUUACAUGAAAUAGCAGGGAAGGAUCCAUCUGGGGUGCAUGACUGAUGUUGGCAAUACAAGAAGACGGAUUCUGAUUUGUUAUAUAAAUCAUCCUGAGAGGGGCGCCUGGGUGGCACAGCGGUUAAGCGUCUGCCUUCGGCUCAGGGCGUGAUCCCGGCGUUAUGGGAUCGAGCCCCACAUCAGGCUCUUCCGCUAUGAGCCUGCUUCUUCCUCUCCCACUCCCCCUGCUUGUGUUCCCUCUCUCGCUGGCUGUCUCUAUCUCUGUCGAAUAAAUAAAUAAAAUCUUUAAAAAAAAAAUAAAUA
rnacentral:lncRNA from 1 species